rnacentral:rRNA from 1 species
CACGUAGGGCGCAAGCGUUGUCCGGAAUUAUUGGGCGUAAAGAGCUCGUAGGCGGUCUGUUGCGUCCGCUGUGAAAACCCGGGGGCUUAACCCCUGGCUUGCAGUGGAUACGGACAGACUAGAGGUAGGUAGGGGAGAAUGGAAUUCCCGGUGUAGCGGUGAAAUGCGCAGAUAUCGGGAGGAACACCGGGUGGCGAAGGCGGUUCUCUGGGCCGUUACCUGACGGCUGAGGAGCGAAAGCGUGGGGAGCGAACAGG